rnacentral:misc_RNA from 1 species
GUGAAUCAUCAAAUUUUUGAACGCAAAGGGAAAGAGGGGGGAGUCAGGAGAGUAUGCCUGUUUGAGGGUCAGUUUAAAUAAAAAUCGGUGUGGUUGCUGCCUUUCGGGGUGACGCACCGGAUUUGGGUCGUCUUGCCUUCGGUUAAGUGACCUAAAAUUUUGCAUGAUUUUUUUCGAACGUAUUUAAAUGAUUUUACGUACGUUUGCGAUAGCGAAUACUAUGUGCGGUCAUGGUCAUGAGGGGGCGCUAUAAUUGUUCAUCAAAAGGAGCUCAAAUCAGGUAAGAGUACCCGCUGAAAUU